GCUGCUGUCAGUCAAACUUCCAGCCAAUGCCUCAUUUAUUAGUGUGAUUGUUUGCAAAAAGAGAGUUUCACAUGGAAUCAAAACAACACUUCAUGAUGAGCUCGGAAAACGUAGAUCUGGCUUCUGUUUGCCUUUGUUUUCCCCAGGGUGUCCAUGCUUUACAUGUGCUCUAGCUACUUUGAAAGAAUUGUGAGAAGCCCUGAGGGAAAACAAGCAGGAAUAUCCCCUCUGGAAGACAUUCCUGCUCUGGUCCCGUGGCACUGCUGUUCCCAGCACGGAUGGGAGCCCCAGUCCCAUCCCAGGACUGAUGCCCACACAAAGACACUUUGCAGGCUCACAGGUCACUGUCCUGUGGCCAGUAACACUCCACUGAAGAGCUUUGGACAAUUUAACAAAAUCAUCCUUUAUAAAAGGCGUAGCUACAGAGACCAGCAAGGCCCAGCAAAGGCAUUUCUUAAGAGGCUGCGUGUGAUAACAUGCACAGGCAAAAAGGAAGCCUUUGUGAACCAUGGAUCUUGAGGGUUUUAUGCUGAGAGAGACGGAGGAAGGCAGAGCCCACUGCUGCAGCUGUGGGAGCAAGGAGAGCAAUGUAUCUGUAUUAUCUGGAGGAGACCGCAUGGAAUUUUCCUACGAUUUAGGCAGCAUAACAUGCCGGGACUGCGAAUGACUGGAGGCGAAUGAUUCAUUGUGCUAAGUACCAUACAGUCAAGAAAACAGAUGUCCUAGCUGGACUGGGGACAGAACAACACAUUGUAUUUAGUAGAUUUAUCAAUAGGAUAAUGAAUAUUUUGUUCAGAUUGUUGAAAGGUUGUUUUUUUUUUUUUAUUAUUAUUAUUAUUUUUUAAUAUUCUAAAACUUUUAAGUAGAUAGAACACAAAACCCUCCAGUAACAGUUACCGAAGUUCUUUCCAAACUAAAACUUUGUCAGCAUGAAAAAUAAGACUUUAAAUCUGAGCAUGCUGAGAUUAUUACCCAGUUUUGUGUGGCUGAUUCAUACCUAUACAUUGCCAUUGAUACCAAUGGGUUUGAAUGGAUCUGAGUAAAUUGAAUAUACGGCCCAGUGAUUUUGUAUUGAUGUGGAAAGAAAAAGGCUAAAUUUAAAGUUAAUAAUGGCUGGAACAAGAGCCUCUUUUCCAGUGUUAUAAGUAUGAAAAGUGCCACACACCUAGGGGAAAGGUGUAAUAUUUGUGCUAACAUCUUUACUUCAAUGACUGAUAGUGUUGCCUGUAUGUGUGAACCUAGUCCGGUCCAGCAAGCUUACAACCUCACUAAGUGUUAUGGGAUGGCACCUGCCCUCUGCUAAACACUGCUUCAUUGGCACCAGGGGUUUUAAUUACCCUAGGGAGAGGUAGCUGAGAGUCUCCUCCAACCUGCACAGAGCCAGGCAGGGGCUCACAGAGGCAAACAAGGGGAUGUGGACAUGGCCUAAGUCUUGUGCAGGUGGCUAGUAAAGGGUAUGCUUGGCUUCCACCUCAGGAAGGGAGGUGAGAGUCUUCAUGAGGACAUUCAGAUCUGCAUU
rnacentral:lncRNA from 1 species